UCAGCCUACGGGGCGCAGCAGUGAGGAAUAUUGGUCAAUGGGUGCGAGCCUGAACCAGCCAAGUCGCGUGAGGGAUGACGGUCCUACGGACUGUAAACCUCUUUUGCCGGGGAGCAAGCGUGCGUUCGUGAACGCGCGUCGAGAGUACCCGGAGAAAAAGCAUCGGCUAACUCCGUGCCAGCAGCCGCGGUAAUACGGAGGAUGCGAGCGUUAUCAGGAUUUAUUGGGUUUAAAGGGUGCGUAGGCGGGAUGCCAAGUCAGCGGUAAAAAUGCGGUGAUCAACGCCGGGGAGCCGGU
rnacentral:rRNA from 1 species